AUUGAACGCUGGCGGCAGGCUUAACACAUGCAAGUAGAACGAGUGGCGGACGGGUGCGUAAUGCUUGGGAAUAUAGCUUAUGGCUGGGGAUAACUACGGGAAACUGUAGCUAAUACCGCGUACCAUAAUUUGAUCCCAAGGGGGUGUAGGUAGUUGGUGAGGGAAAGGCUCACAAGGCCGACGAACUCUAGCUGGUCUGAGAGGAUGACCGGCCACACUGGGAUUGAGCAACGGCCCAGACGCCUACGGGAGGCAGCAGUGGGGAAUAUUGCGCAAUGGGGGCAACCUGACGCAGACAGGCCGCGUGAAUGAAGAAGGCCUUCGGGUUGUAAAGUUCUUUCGGUAGGGAGGCGUUAACUACAGAAGAAGCACCGGCUAACUCCGUGCCAGCAGCCGCGGUAAUAC
rnacentral:rRNA from 1 species